UACAGAGGGUGCGAGCGUUAAUCGUAAUUACUGGGCGUAAAGCGCACGUAGGUGGCGACGUAAGUCGGGUGUGAAAGCCCCGGGCUCAACCUGGGAAUUGCAUUCGAGACUGCAUUGCUGGAGUACGGAAGAGGAGGGCGGAAUUCCCGGUGUAGCGGUGAAAUGCGUAGAUAUCGGGAGGAACAUCAGUGGCGAAGGCGGCACUCUGGCCCAGUACUGACACUCAAGUGCGAAAGCGUGGGGAGCAAACAGG
rnacentral:rRNA from 1 species